rnacentral:rRNA from 1 species
GACGAACGCUGGCGGCGUGCUUAACACAUGCAAGUCGAACGGAAAGGCCCUGCUUUUGUGGGGUGCUCGAGUGGCGAACGGGUGAGUAAAACGUGAGUAACAUGCCCUUGACUUUGGGAUAACUUCAGGAAACUGGGGCUAAUACCGGAUAGGAGCUCCUGCUGCAUGGUGGGGGUUGGAAAGUUUCGGUGGUUGGGGAUGGACUAGCGGGUUAUCAGCUUGUUGGUGGGGUAGUGGCUUACCAAGGCUUUGACGGGUAGCCGGCCUGAGAGGGUGACCGGCCACAAUGGGACUAAGAUACGGCCCAGACUCCUACGGGAGGCAGCAGUGGGGAAUAUUGCACAAUGGGCGGAAGCCUGAUGCAGCAACGCCGCGUGCGGGAUGACGGCCUUCGGGUUAUAAACCGCUUUCGCCUGUGACGAAGCGUGAGUGACGGUAAUGGGUAAAGAAGCACCGGCUAACUACGUG